GUAAAGUACAAGUACAGUAUGUGAGAUAUAAAUAGGAAAGUUUAAUUGAUUCAUAGUACUAGAUCAUAAUUUAUUGUUGGUCUUCUCUCUGUUUUUUUUGGUAGUUGUGUGUGUCUAGUCUUCUUUUUCCUUCACAUAUU
rnacentral:ribozyme from 14 species